rnacentral:rRNA from 1 species
UAAAACCAGCACCCCGAGUGGUCGGGACGUUUAUUGGGCCUAAAGCAUCCGUAGCCGGUUCUACAAGUCUUCCGUUAAAUCCACCUGCUUAACAGAUGGGCUGCGGAAGAUACUAGAGCUAGGAGGCGGGAGAGGCAAGCGGUACUCGAUGGGUAGGGGUAAAAUCCGUUGAUCCAUUGAAGACCACCAGUGGCGAAGGCGG